rnacentral:rRNA from 1 species
GGCGAGUGGCGAACGGGUGAGUAAUACAUCGGAACGUGUCCUGUAGUGGGGGAUAGCCCGGCGAAAGCCGGAUUAAUACCGCAUACGCUCUACGGAGGAAAGGGGGGGAUCUUAGGACCUCCCGCUACAGGGGCGGCCGAUGGCAGAUUAGCUAGUUGGUGGGGUAAAGGCCUACCAAGGCGACGAUCUGUAGCUGGUCUGAGAGGACGACCAGCCACACUGGGACUGAGACACGGCCCAGACUCCUACGGGAGGCAGCAGUGGGGAAUUUUGGACAAUGGGCGAAAGCCUGAUCCAGCAAUGCCGCGUGUGUGAAGAAGGCCUUCGGGUUGUAAAGCACUUUUGUCCGGAAAGAAAACCUCUGGGUUAAUACCCCGGGGGGAUGACGGUACCGGAAGAAUAAGCACCGGCUAACUACGUGCCAGCAGCCGCGGUUAAU